ensembl:snoRNA SNORD115 Small nucleolar RNA SNORD115
UUGUCUAAGAUGACGUACUAAUUUUCAAAAAGAGCUGAUGACAUAGAAAUCAUGAUCAAUAGGAUUACGCUGAAGCUC